rnacentral:rRNA from 1 species
CUACGGGUUGCUCCAGCAGGGAAUAUUGCACAAUGGACGGAAGUCUGAUGCAGCGACGCCGCGUGGAUGAUGAAGGCCCUCGGGUUGUAAAAUCCUUUUCAGGGGGACGAGGAAGGACGGUACCCUUGGAAUAAGCGUCGGCUAACUACGUGCCAGCAGCCGCGGUAAGACGUAGGACGCAAGCGUUAUCCGGAUUUACUGGGCGUAAAGCGUCUGUAGGCGGAAUGGUAAGUUGGACGUGAAAGCUCCGGGCUCAACCCGGAGAGGUCGUUCAAUACUGCCAAACUAGAGGGCAUCAGAGGAGCGUGGAAUUUCCGGUGUAGCGGUAAAAUGCGCAGAUAUCGGAAGGAACACCAAUGGCGAAGGCAGCGCUCUGGGAUGAACCUGACGCUAAGAGACGAAAGCUAGGGGAGCGAACAGGAUUAGAUACCCUCGUAGUC